UCUCCGUUGGUGAACCAGCGGAGGGAUCAUUACCGAGUUUACAACUCCCAAACCCGAUGUGAACUAUACCUGUCUACCGUUGCUUCGGCGGGUUCGCCCGCCGAGGGACCGACAAAUGAACUCUUGUAUUUCUAUCUUUAGCAUGUCUGAGUGGAAUCAUAAACAAAUGAAUCAAAACUUUCAACAACGGAUCUCUUGGUUCUG
rnacentral:misc_RNA from 1 species